rnacentral:rRNA from 1 species
UACGUAGGGUCCGAGCGUUGUCCGGAGUUACUGGGCGUAAAGCGCGCGCAGGCGGCUCAGAGAGCCCGGCGUGAAAGCCCCCGGCUCAACCGGGGGAGGUCGUCGGGGACCUGUGGCUGGAGGCCGGUAGGGCGAGUGGAAUUCCCGGUGUAGUGGUGGAAUGCGUAGAGAUCGGGAGGAACACCAGUGGCGAAGGCGACUCGCUGGACCGGUCCUGACGCUCAGGCGCGAAAGCGUGGGGAGCGAUCCGG